rnacentral:rRNA from 1 species
UACGUAGGGGGCAAGCGUUGUCCGGAAUCAUUGGGCGUAAAGCGCGCGUAGGCGGCCAGAUAAGUCCGGUGUGAAAGUCACAGGCUCAACCUGUGAAUGCCGCUGGAAACUGUCUGGCUUGAGUCCGGAAGGGGCGAGUGGAAUUCCUGGUGUAGCGGUGAAAUGCGCAGAUAUCAGGAGGAACACCAACGGCGAAGGCAGCACUCUGGGCCGGAACUGACGCUGAGACGCGAAAGCGUGGGGAGCGAACAGG